UUUAGAUAUUCAAUUUGCAGUGGUACCAGGGUGCUUAAAAGCAGUAAUUAGAAGUACAGGUUUGCUGUUAAGACAUAAAGAGAAAAGCUCAAAGAUUCUGAGUAAUAAUUCUAUGACUCAAAGCAAUGCCAGUGUGUGGUCCCAGCUCCCAUAGCUGUGCAGCAUUUCAGCAAGAAUGGUGUAAUGCCACCUCCCUGGGAGUGUUCAAGGCCAGUUUGGGUGGGAUGUCGAGCAACCUGGUCUAGUGGAAGGUGUCCCCGCACAGCAGUGGAGUUGGAAUUAAAUAGUCUUUAAGAUCCCUUCCAACCCAAACCAUUCUAUGAUUCUUGAACAACUCCAACCACUGUGUUGUAAAUUGGAUUUAAAGGUACUAGGCUUUCCUCAUCAGCAUGGAGGAGGAAAAGCACCCUGAAAUAUUUGUUGAUACUACUCUUUAUCUUACAAGCAGAGCCAUCCUUGGCUUGACCCAAAGAAACUUUCAGUGCUUCAGAAAUGAGUUGUCACUGCUUUUGCAUUGCUCUUAAGUGGAAUGCUUUCUGUGCCUGGCCUUGUAAGUGUCAAAAACCUCCAGCCUAAAGUCUACAGCCACAUAACUCUCUGUUCCCCUUUUUAUUUCAGUCUUUUCUCAGAACCUCAGAGUACAGAAAUAUGGUUCAAUUUCCCCAAGCAGUUCUAGUAAUCAAAUAGGUAAACUGUAGAAAAAUCUGUCUAUGAAGUUAAAUAUCUUACAGAAAAUUCGAGUGGAUUUUUGAAUAGCAUAGUUUUAAAGCUAAUCAGUAGCUAGAAAUGCACGUCAUCUUUGUAACUUCACAUGAGAACCACUUCUAAAAGAACACUCCUGUUUCUCCUUUUUCUUAAUUCCUGGGGUAAUUGCAACAGCUUGUAUUUUGUGUGGUGAAAUUAGUGUAUUAGGCACUGAAUGGAAAGAAACUAAACGAUACUUGUGCUUUGUUUAUCUUGUUUAUUUGCUGACUUAUUUCAGACCUUGGUCAAUUCCUUCUGCCCUUUACAGAAAUAACACUCCUUUACAUCGUGGGGCUGAGCCACCAGCCCCUUGGAACAGCCCACAUUUUAGGCAGUAGCAACCUCUCCCAUCCCUCUUUUAAAAGGCCAGUGAGCUGAACUUGUUAAACUCUUUUUGGGUUUGAGUCUCAUGACAUGUGAAAGGGAGUGGCAAAGAAAGAAGGCCUGAACAUGGUAAAGGGAAAAACUACAGUGCACUACAUAGCCAACAUAUGUAGAAGAUGGCUAAAGAUGGUACGGAAUGGCUGAAGAAAGAAAAAAAACAAACCAACAGAAAACUGUUUUAAGACCCUUUCAGCAAAGCACUCGUGUGCCUACUUUACCAUGCUGGGUUUUGUGGCAGUGCUUUACAGAGUUUGUCAGCCAGACCCUUUAAAAAAUCUUGGCUUCCACCCUACUCACUGACAUUGCCAGCUAAGCCAAAGAUUUCACUGUCUUUCCCUCCUUCACCUGCACCCCCUAGCAAAGUUCCUCCGCUCUCUUCCUUUACUUCUCGCAUGAUGCUUCUUAGCUGUCCACUACCUUCCAGCCCUUUACCCUUCUGAUCUGACCAUAUCUCUCAGAUACUUUUAAAAUAUUUUAGAAAUUACUACAUUAGAAUGCCUCCAGUUUUGAAGCCUCUCUUCUUACAUUUCCCUCAACUGUACAUUGGCAGAUCAAAGGAGAAAUUGUUGCCAGUUUAAAACAUCUCUGCUGCAUCUAAGCGCAGCUCCUGAUAAGCACAGUCUGUCCUAUCAUUUUUCUGUUCCUUCCCUGUGGCUGCUGUCACUACAAGACCAUUUUUUAGUUUUCUUUCUCAUCUUGUGCCAAAACCAGGAUCCAGCUAUUAAGGUACAAUGAAGUGCAUUAGAAGGACUCAGAAGUUUAUCUUUACAGCAGGCCAACAAGCACCAGCCUUUCAAAAAGCAGGGCCAACAAAAAGGUGCCUCCUUCUCCUCCUAAGGCAACUGAGAAUUUUAAAUUGUACUAAGAUGUGAAUUACAUUCAUAUGAAUGGCAUGAGUAAUGAAGAGAAGUGUUCUCAGAGUAAUAAUUGUGAUUACCUGAACAAACAAAAUAGGCACCUUGUAGGACAUGUAACCCUAGUCCUCUUUAUCUGCACCACCACUUUCUCCCUAACACCAUACAUUGCCUCCCAUCUAGACUUAAUUCAACACCUCAAUUUGUGUUUGAUCAGGGACAGAUCAAAGAAGGUUCCACCAGACAUCUUGACAGAUUUUAGAAAGACCUAGUUUUUUAUUUAAAAACAGGAACUUAAAAGGUCUGGUGGCUUGUCCUCAGGGAUAGUAGUUUUGCUUAGUUUAAAACACGAAAUUCUCUGCUUGCUGUAACCUGCCAGGCCAGGAUUCUGAUAUCCUCAGAAAUGGUUUACAUACACACUGGCCUUUACUGUGCUAAACAAGUAACGCUGGAACGCUUUCAGUGCUAGUAUGUCAACACAGUGUUUUUGUCUCAUGUUCAGGAUGAAAACUGAAAAAAAAAGAAUUACCCUCACCCCCCAGUGAAAUAUGUAGAAAUGUUCUCCUGUGGAAAGUUUCAUUUUGAAGUCUUCCAAUUCAAACUAGUUCAUUUUGGCUUUGUUUCACAUGGAGAUGUAUCCUUACAGGUGGUUUUGCUGCUUUUCAGUCCUUGGGAUCUAUAUCCACUCAACACUGUCACAGUUCUCCUCAUGCUCCACUCCAGCCAGAAAAGAGAAUGCAGUGAGGGGGACAAAACCCACCUUGACAAGAACCACCAUUCCAAACUUGUUUCUUGUAUGUUCCAACGAGACAUGUUUGAAUUAAGAUGAUAGAGUCAUUGAUCAAAUAGUUCAUUCUUCUAGGAAAAAAAAAGUCAAUUUCCUCACAGUUGCAUUUUCCUAUAAAAAUUUGUUUUGGUGCAAGUUUUAAAGCAGCUGUAAAAUGUUAUAUAUUUGACAAUUAUCCUCUUAUUUAUGGACUUUAAUGUAGACUGAAGAAAUCCAGAUUCAUCUCUUCAAAGUUUUGGUUAGGAAAGAAUGCAUUCAGAUGUUUACUGAGAAGUACUACUAUAAAUUGGAUUAAUCUCUAUCAUAUUUUUCCUAGAUGGAAAUGUCACUUCCAACUUGAUUCUCCCCUCUAGUCAGUGAGUACUGCCUGCAGUACAAGCAAAAGAGCUCUGUUGUGAAAGAACAAAAUCAGCUUAGCCACAAAUUGUCAGCUCAGAAUAAAAAUAUAUUCCCAGAAGAAGGGCUGAGGUUGAAGGACACCAUUCAGAAGAUGCAAGAAGCCAAAUUACUCAAAAAUAGACCAAAUAGCAGGGAAAUGCUGAGUGAAAUUGAAGCAGAAGUCCUCAAUACUGCGGCUUUCACUACAUAAAACUUGCAUUUUCAUUUUCUGUCAUAAGUCAUUAGAAAUGUCAGUUCCUGUUCAGAGAACCUCACUGCUGACUGUACCUCAGUUGGAGGUAUUGCUUUUCUCCUUUGGUUUGUCUUUGCCUGUGCCUUAAGACAGCUGCACUAAAUUUCCAGUGACACCUGCAGUUAAGAUCCCUGCAGUGAGAAUUCAGAAACUCUUCCCAUUUGUCUGUCUGAAGAGCUGUGGUAGCCAAGUGUUUCCUCUGAAGUCCACGUGCAUCCUUCUCCCCCACAGCCUUUGUACCUGUGCUCUGACACCGUGUUUGAAGUCAGCAAGUGAGCAGUACACACUGCAGAGCCUCCUUUCUGGACUGAGGCAUUGCUGUUGCCGGCACAUCUCCCCUUCCCCCUGAUGAAACCUGGAGUAACAAGGAGGAGUCACAAAUUCAAGCUCUGUCCAGCUUCCACUUUGGAAUCUAAUCUAAUUACACUAGAUUUGUCUGUAUCCCCUCUGCAGAUUUAACUAGACACAGUGCACAAUUCACUUCCCACUAGAGCUUGCUGUGUAGUUUCUUGGGUGAUUGAGAUACAGUUCAGUAAGAAGACAGUGGAUAGCCUUUGUGUAUCUGAAGAAAAAUAAACAGCACCUGAACAGACUGAGCACAACCUUGAGUCUUUAGUGUAUGAAAAAAGAAAAGCCCUUACAUCUGCUCCUGAAACCUGAUCCCUCAUGAAAUAUGCACCCACACACUCUGGAUCACACCUUAAGAUCAGAGGAGAAAAACAUCAAAACCCCAGUCAGACCUCUGCAGCUGAUGGCUCACAACUUGGGGCUCCUGUGGCAGGAGGCUGCCCAGGAAGUUCUGACACCCCAGGAAAUUCAAGAAUGGCCUGAGAGAGAGAGAGCCCUUCUGCUUUGUACUGGUAACACAGUGCAGGCUAAGCAGAGAAGCCCAGAGCCCACAUCUCAUGGGAACAAAAGCAGAAAGUGCCCCUAACCUAUGUGCCUCUCCUCUGUGGGUGUCAAGCACAUCACCACAUCAGACAAAGAGCACAUUUGCACACCCAUUUCAUCAGUACUCUGCCAAUUCUGGGUCCAGCUCCACCGUCUGCCCACAUCUUCUUGUUCAUGCUGUGAACCAGCAGACUGACUGCUCAGCACAUCUCACCAGCCCACUGAGAUAACUGUUUCUGCUGUUAUUUCAGUAGUCAUGCACAUAAAACACCAUUUCUCUCUUAAAGCCUAGGAAAUCAGAACACCACUACCCAGCAAAAAAACCUCCAAACCAACCAAAAACAAAAUAACAAACCCAACCAAAUCAGAGUCAGUCAGGCUUUCUAUCUCUUUCUCUCUGGUGAAUCAUAUGAAACUAGAAUCACAAGAACAAACAAUAUAUUCCUCUCCCAAACAAGAAGCUUCUGAAGUCUUUGAGGCUGGGACAUGCAGCUCUGUGAGUCAAUUCAUGUCAGCUGUGCCCAUCCACACCCCCCAGGAGGGCAGCUGCCCUCCCUGGUCUGUGAUAUAUCCCCAGCACAUAGCGCUCUCCAACACUUGGUAGCCAUUUGUUGGCUUGCUGAUGCUAAUGCUCUGUGAACUCUUAUCAGAUGUAUUUAUUACCACAGUUGUUAAUGUUUUGGGGAGGCACUGGCUGGCUUGAGUUCAAAGAACCACAAGAAUAGAAAAAAAGCCCUGAAGGUGCUUAUGUCAGGAGUCUGACUAAUGCACCUUACUGAAGAGAAGGUUGAAAAUGCAACGUGUUUCAUAGGUCAAGAGGUCUGUGACCAGAAGGAAGGAACCAGCCCUUUUCUGAAGAGGAUGUCAUUUAAGUCUCCAAACAGAAAUCUCUGCCCUACAGCACUGCAGAAAGCCUGGUCAGCCCUGGCUAAAAACUGAGGCUAAACUUGGUUCUGUGAGUCACCACUUGACUGACUUCACACUGCAGGCACGACGGAGCAAGGCAGUGAUGCUGAUAGACACCAGGGCAGAGAAGAGGGGAGAAGUAACGAGAAGCAAACAUAAAGUGCCAGUUUGUCCUCUUCCAUGGCUAGAAGGAGUCAGCCAUAGGAUUCCCACGCUAAUGGUCCAAGUGAGGCAGCUCUGAGUACCGGCGGGGCAGGAGGGGCUGUGGAGACAGCGGCUGUUCCAGCAGCAGCAGCUGCAGGGAGCGCUCCAGCCGUGCCUGGGGCUGCUCAUCCCUGGCUGCGCACGGACGGACGGACGGACACGCUCGGCUGCGGGCACCGGCACCGGGACCUCUUGCUGGGAGCAGGGCGGAGCCUUCUGGCCAGAGCUGCUCCGCCUCUGGCCCGGAGAACAGGGAUGCCUCUCCAGCUCGCAAGCUUCAAGCAAUAGCUUCAUCAGCUUUCCUAUGGCGAAGGCACAUCCUGGCCAAACGAUCCUUUGCUGCCUGAUCUGUAUUUUGCAAAGAACACGUCUGGGAGGGUAAAACUGUGUGGCUGAUAACGAGCACUGUGGUAAGCUGCAGCAGCUGCAUCAGGUCCUUGCAAUUCCAGAGCAUCAUAUUUCCAGACCUGGGAGAAAGGCAUUGUAAGAGAUGUUAUCCAGAGUCCCAUGUGAUUUAGAGGCACAUACACCAUUUUUUAAAACUGACUUACUGAGAAGUGAUGGGCUGGGCAGGGCCUGUAGAGAAGUCAGAUGGGCAUUUUUGAAAACUGUACCCCUUAUUUUAAAAGAAUGGAAAACAUGAGGCAAUCACGGCUGAUUCAGCAUCCGACAGCCUCAGCCAAGUCAUAUUUUACCUCUUCCCUUCCCUUCCCUCCCUGCACAAAACUUCCAGGAAAACCUGCAAAGAAAAGGCAUAUGUGGGUGGGAGGAGACCUGCUUUUAAUUUCUGUACCUCCUUUGCUGCCAGGAUUGCUCCCUGCUGUGCACAGGGAGGCUGCCAGGCAGGAGCAGGACAGGGGAAGUGUUGCUUGCAGAAUGCAUCAGGAGGAGCAGCGUGAGCCUGGAAGUGGGAAAAUACAGUCACCAGCUAAAGGCUGAACUUCAAAUUGACAGGGGCAAAACUCAGAAUUCAACAUCCCUGUCCUGUGUGUCUUUGCUCACAAUGUGUAAACAUCAGCUCUCUGAUGCAAGGGAAGGGAAUCAGCCCUGCUCCUAACUAAGUCAAUGCACAGGUUAUCUCCAGCUGGUCCUUGGUUGAGGCACAAGCCUUCAUGGCUGGGAAGGAACUGAGGUUCACAUAAACAACUAACAGAAGUUAUACACAAGGGAUUUAUUACAUGAAUAAUUUGACAUACUCCAUGGUAGUCAGAUACAAGUGCAUUUAAUUAAUGUUUUGUGGACAUCAUAACAGUCGGAAUAUUUCAGCUGAACAGUCAGUAUUUGGCUGAAUUCAAGCCAGUGCAAUUCAUGACAUAACCAGAAACAGGGAGUUACAGGUCUACAAUGAGGUUAGACUAGAUAGCAACAGCAUAUUUAUUGUCACAUCAAAGCAUUACAAAGUAUGAAAGCCCAAUAUUUCAACUAUCUCUAAAAUGGUAUUUGUACAAAGCUGUUGUAGAUACUUAAAUGUAAGGAUUUGUCGCAUCAGUAAUGGACCAUGACUUUAUUUUGGGAAGUUAUUUGAAUAUUCAAAACUAUUUGGGGCAACAAGAAGAAAUGUAAACAUCUGACAGUCCUUUGAAGGUCCCUUCUGAGAAAAUACAUUGUGUGCCACAGGAAAAGUGCAUUCUAACUGGUGUGUCUGCUAUGGCCAGUUUGACUCACAUUCACUUAGCACCAGGUAUUUAUCCAUUUCUGCAGUAAAAAGUUAGAAAAUCUUUGUAUUAACUCAGAAAAGAGAAAACUAAGUCAAAAGUUUUUUUUCUUCUUCUUUCUUUAGAGGAACAACAGGUAAAUUAAAAAAAAACCCCACCCAACAUUUAAACAGUUACCUCUUAUGUACAAAGAAACCAGGAGCUAGCAAAGCGCAUAGCCCCUAACAGUCUUUAUUAUUUUUUUCUUCAGGUUCAUGUACCUGAAUAUAUGAGUUUAUUUACAGGUGGACAGGUAUCCACAGAAGUAAUAAUCAGAAUUUUUCUAUUUGGCUAAAAGUUGUAUAAAAAAAGACAAAACACUGUUCAAAUACUUUCCAAAUAUAUAUAUAUAUAUAUAUUAAAAGUAUUCAGUAUUUCCAUCAGUGCCAGAGUUGGAAGCUCUUCCUCGUUGUAAAAAGUUAACUUUGUGAUAGCAAGUGACAGCAAAGGACUGACAGGGUCAGUCAGAGCUUUGAUUUGAGGGACUGCAGCUGGAGCUACCCCAGGCCCACAGGGCAGUUGCAGAUUGCAGGGAAAUGAAUCCACGUGUGUCUGUUGCAGUGACAGGCCACGUCCUGGGAAGGGUGACCUGCUGCUCCAGAGAGCCUCCACUCACACUGGACAAUCCUGUGGAACUCUCUGGGGCAGGUUCCCUUUGAAAACAAUCACCCAAAAACCUCUGAAGUAGUGAAAAUAUUCUUUCUGCAAAUGAACAACUAGCAUGGGUGGGCAGGUAGCUCAAGAAAUGGAAAAACGUAAUCGCCACGCUAAUUCUUGUAAAGAAUAUAAAAUUAAAGGCUUGGCCCCUCAAAUACAAAUACAUACCGCAAAAAUAUUUUUAAUUAACAUAACCUAGAUGAGUGCAAAUCUCUGGAUACAUAAGAAUAUGACUACCUUCAUACUGGUAUCAAAUAUUUAAACAGUUUGCAUAUAAACAAAAUCUUUCUUUGUUGUUGAGUCCAUGCUUGCUUUAGUCUAAAGCAAGGAUAUUCUUAUUACUUCUACUUUUUUGGUCUUUCUUCCUGUAGGAUAAAGCAUAUGAAACACGCUUCAUUGAGUAGACUGGGCUGAUGUACAUUACAGCGACAACCCAAAACUGAAGUAAGAAAUGUUGCAUGCAGUAUCUUUUCCCCACAUUUAAUUACAUCGGCUACAAGAACAAGACAUCCAUUUUCCAUCUUCCCUGGUCCCUUCCAACAGAAGGUGCACUAAACCCAAGCUCUGAUCCUUUGUCCCUAGCACACCCCAGCCCUGAAGUCCCCAGUGAUGAGGAUGAAGGGCUGAGCACUUUGGGCACUGCAUCACUUGGGGCAGGUGCCAGCAGGGAGACCACAACCCCUGUGGAGCCAUCCCUGCCUCGCACGGUGGGGAAGGGAUGGUCAGAAGGAGCCUGGGCUGCAGGGAUGGCUGGAAAGGCUGUCCCAAGGGCAGGAUGGCACUGCAAGCCCAGGGGCAGCGGCCUCUCCUUGGCACAGCUCUCUGAGUGGCUGCAAGCUCCUCCUGAGCCCGGUGCCGGCCCCGCUCGGCCGCCCCAGCGCCCGGGAUGCUGAGCCAGGGUGCCAGAGGCGCUGGGGCUGGAGCAGCUCUGCCAGGGGAGCACUCACUCACACCACACCUCUGCCUGGCCACGCUGCGCCUGGCUGCCCAAACUGGGCCUUGACUUGGCCACGGGCCCCUCUGCUCCUUGGGCUCUCCAGCUCAGCAUUGCUCUGUCCUGCAUCUAAGGAUUUUGGAGAGCAGAAACAAGGCAGGAGACAAAUAUCUGUCAAAGGAGGUGGGACACACCUUCUGCUCCUUAAGUUUGGGGGUUUCUAAGCUAGGGGAAAGGUUGGAGUGAUUCAAGAUACAGUAAGCAGCUGUGUGAAAAUGCAUAGUUUGUAUGUAUACAUUCAUUUACAAAGACCAAAGGAAGGUCCUUUGCUAUGUAGUUUAAUCACAUCUGCUUUUAACAAAAAUGUGAGCUGACAAAGCUACAGGAUGUCAGUUAGACACACAGCCUGGGAGUAAUGGUAGCUGAAUGGCAUUUCCCAAACAGAGAAUUAACUUUUCUUUUUGCUUUUUUGAGAUAAUUUUUCAGUCAUUUUUCAUUUGAAGCCUGUUGUUUCUCUAAUCGCGUGUUUUAGGAUUUCAAGAGAUUCCUAUUCAACUGUGGUCAUCUCAGCAACGACAGACCCUGCUCUGAAGGCUGUUAAGAAGCAAAAACCCCAAAAGACAAACAAACAAACCAACAGAAACCUGGGUUUAGCUAUGGUGUGUGAACUAGAUGAAAACAUGGCUCUUUUAAGCUGCUUAAAUUCUAGUUCAGUAGUGAGUAGUGCUUUUUUGUUGUUUUGUUUUUGGCCCUUUUUGUGCAAUAGCUGAGCUAGUACUAAGAAAAUCCUAUGAGUUUGCUGACUUUCUUUUCAUUUAGUUGACACUUUGGAACCUAGCUGCUUCCUGUGAGGAAUGUCUGUUGUCCUGAGCAUUCCUGAACAUAGAACAGUAAUGUAACAGGCAGGAUGGGCUUAAAUUGAGAAAAUCUUGGUCUAAAUGGUCUAUUUGAAUGGGGUUUUUUUUUCCAUUUGCACUUUUUCUGAAGAAAAACCCCUUUGUCACUUGUGACACUAAAACACAGUGGUCUGCUUCUAAAUGUAAUUUUAACAAAGAUCAGUACUCUCUGCUAAUCAGUGUGUUCUAUCAAUAUUUAAUUCAGCAAUGGAUUGACUUUUCUCAUGAGACUUUAUCUUCAUGUUUGUUUCAUGACCUUGAUUUUUACUUAGCAUUUGACUUAGAUUCUUCCUUGCAAUUUUUAUUGAACCGUAUCUAUGGAACUUGCACAAAAGCAUUUUUGAAGCUAGAAAAAGGUAAGGAUCUCAUAUAACCAGAUUCACAUGGAGGAGAGUAAAAUUAUCUAAGCAUAUUUUGCCAUCUAAAGUCAAGAAACAUUGCCUGUUGCUUAGUGAACUGAUCAUUCACUGGGAAAUGGAAAAGUAGUAAAGGUUUUUUUUCCAUACAAACAGCGAUUAGAAGUGCAAGAGGAUAAGAUUUGCUCAUUCUAAAAUGCAUUGAUCAGAAACAAAUUAUUCAUUACUUGAACUACUUGAGUAACUUGAGAAAAAAACAAACCUUCUAAAUUUUUACAGAAUUACUCUGUACAAAGGUGGUUUACUGUGUUGGUGAAACUCAGGGGCUCAUGCUUAGCACAUCACAAAUUCAUUCUUUAAAGUUUCAGGUGCAAGCAAAUACUUCUCAGUACCUUGACUCAAUUAUUUUUAUCAACUUUUAGGCAUUAAUAUGCAUAUUGCUAAUUUUGCAAAUGUUUCUAAUUUAAGAAAAAAACCUGAAAUGUUUGGAGAGUCCUGACUUGUACUGAGAAUGAUUCCCAAGAUAUCUGAAGUCCACUGGAAGUAUUCUUGGUUCAGCAGGCAGAUUUUUAACUCAUUUGCUGACACAAAGAUUUUAACACUUUUUUUCUUAUGAAAUAACAGCAGAAUUCUCAGAGGAGUUUUGCAGGGCCCAAGUCUGGGUAGCUUUGAUCCAGCACUAAAUCAUUUUCAGUGGCAAUGGACUGCAGAGGCCUUUUGAUGAGUUAUGGCCAAGGUCCUCAGAAUUCUUGAGCUCUCCCCAGCUGCUGUUGCUGCAGGAGACUGGGAGAAUUUGACAAAGGUCUGUAUGGUGGCAUCUUGUUGUGUGUUUUUAAUGUUGUAAGAAUGAGAAAAGCACCUGUUUCUUACAAGAAACAGUUUUUUGCAAUGUCUAAGUCACUGUUAGUGGAAGCCCCUUAUCUAAACGUGCUGUGCCAGCCCAUAGGCUGCCCCAGAGCACAGAAUCCAACCGGACUGUGAAGGAAUAGCAUCUGCAAGUCUUCUUUUCAAAAGCUUCUUUCAAACAUACAUGGAAAUACAGCACCCAGCUGGGCCACAGAGCUGUUAUCUGUGCUGCCUGACAGAACCACCUUGGACUGGGCCUGUCACUGCUCUUGUUCCUCAGCCAAGCACGGACUGAGUUUUCAGACACCCCGUGCUCACUAUAAAAGUUUUAAGCUUGCUUUGCCCCAUAGUUCCAAGAGCUGACCCACACUGUGCAGCCCUCAUUUCUGGGGUGGGAUGGGCAGGUGGCAUCAGCCCACACUUCUCUUCAGCACAGGUACCACUGGUGUUAAGCACAAGACUUGCACAGCACUGGCCGUGUGCUCACCUCGCUCCAGGGACUCCCAGAGCUCCCUGGAAGGACACAACAGCUUUGCAGCACGCACAGACACCUGGAUCAUGCCCAUCCUUUGCAGGAAGAACUGCAGCUUGAUUAAAAAUGGCAAGGUGAUACAUUUGCAGUCCAACGGGAAUCUAUACCCAGGCUAUUGGAGCAGCAGUCAGCUUUUGCUUUUACCUAUGGAUGUAGAAAUGAGCAGAAUGUCUGGAAGCCUCUGAAAAGGAGCUGGAAUCUCUGGGAGGUGGCCAACUAAGAGCUUUUUCAAGGAUGGAUUUUACAUGACUUCCAAGCUGUGCGUGGUCCGUGCACACACACACUCAGCCUGGGAGAGGGAGCCCAGCAAUGAUUCACCCUGAGAAGGAAAUGAGCAUUGCUGGCUCUCUCUCCCCUCUUCACUGCCAUGUGCCUUGUUUUCCCCACUUUUCUUCGUGUGAUUUGGAAUAAAGAGUUUGGACAAAGUAAAAGUCAAAAAGGUCUUUAUUUUUCAGCAUGCUCCAUAAGAUUUAAAAGGAUUCUGUGCUGGGGCAGAGUAGCUGUUCUUUGUUUAAAAUGCUGAAACUGGCAUUUACAAAUUAAGACAAACUAUGUGCAAUAGUGUGAGUGCUGCAAGCUUAACACCAAAACCAGAGGGAAGAUGAGUUCAUUAAUUCACUUAGGAACAAAAGGAUUGUCUUUAGGACACUAGUUCCCAAAACUAGUGGGGAUGGAGUCAGGAAAAACCAAAUGGAAAUACUACUGCCAACCUGGCAGUGGCCCUGCAAGUUGGGAGAGUGGCUGUUUAAAGAGGAAAAUCCAAACUCUCCUAUGGCUUCUGCUGCUGCCUUGUACCAGGAGGAGUUCACUGCCUGCAGGGCCCAGGGGCUUCACAGGCUGCCCACUGCACAGCACGGGGAAAAACAGCUCCUGGCUGCUCAACUUAAACUCAUUUCCAAAUUUCUAUGAGCUCCUGGCAUUUUAAACUUGCCUAUUAAACAGUUGCACACUUCUUUAAACUAGAUUAGGCUAUUUGUUUAAACCUUUAUCAAUUAAACUAAUGCAGGUUUUGCAUAUAAGGAAAUCUACCAUCUAGAACUUUGUGUUCUUCUCAUUCACAUUCCACUUUAAACCAUAAUAUCCAUGAAUGUAUUGAGUUUACCAAAUGAUAAAUAAUUUCAGAAGCUAUCAUAUUUCUCAAUGUAUCAUUAAAAAAUGUCUCUGACCCAAACAAAUUAUUUACUGUAUUUUAGGGAAUUUGCAUUUUUAUAAAAACAUCUUCGUUUCAUGGUUAAUUUCAAGUUAAAACUAGAUUAAUAAAAUGUUUACUGUUCUGUGUAUCAAAAAUACAUGGCCCAAAAAGUGAAAAAAUUAUAUAAAGUGCAAUGCAGAGCAAAUUAAAGCUCCGUAAUUUUACACUGAAUCGAAAGAGGAAAUGCUCAGCUUCUAAAAAUAAUAAUUCAGAAAAAAUGGUUUUAAAAAAGAACUGGAACUUACUUUAUUCUCUCUGAAACAAGAUUUGAUAGGAAACAAAGGAAGAACAAUGUAUGCAGGCAGGUAUUUCACUUUUGUCACUGAAGCAAGAAAAAAGGAUAUGUGGAUAUAAAUACUGCAGUCUUCUGCAAGCAGAAUGUUUUAGAAAUCCCUUACUCAUAAAAACUAGGCAGUUGGGGUUUUAGUUUCCUACAGCUACUUACCCUGUGCUGAAUUUCCCCCCUUCUAUGAUGGAAACACUUUUCUUACAUGAGACAACACAAAUAGCAAGUGACAAGAAAACAUGCUUGCUGUUUUAGAGAGUUAAAAACCCCACAGUGCAACGGGGGCUGAUGGUCCUUUCUCCAGUUCCCUGAUGCCCUUUACCUCUUGCCCAGCAUUCCCAUCACUAUUAAACUGAAGCUGUAAUAAAAAGAGGCUGAAACUGCACUAGCAAAGCAGCUGAGGAUCAUUCCUAGUUGUUACCAUGUCUGGGUGAGAAGCACACCCUGGUUCUCUGUAGCCCAGAGAUUCACAGAGGUCAUGACUUCCCAGCCCCUUGCCUGAGAUUACUGUGAAUCAUUCCAGACUGGUUCCAGGGAGGAACAGGAUCCAGUAAUGUUGUUUUUCAUAUCCCUUAACUCCUCCAAUAUCUGCUUAGCAAAAUCAUGGUGCAGUUAAGAUGCAGACUUAAGAUGCAGCACUGGACAUACAGUUAUUGAUCUAAUUCCUCUCUUUUCCCCCAUAUAUUUAAUUUCAUACCAAAAUCAAUGCCACCAGCCAUAGGUGGAGCUCUCCUGAGUUUAAUGCUGCAGGGGUAUUGUGCAAGUUCAGGUCUUUAAUGAGAGUCCAGACAAGACAUAGUGGGAUAAAGGCAGCACUACCAUGCCUGCCCCAUGACAGAGCAGGGCACAGAGCCAGCAGGCCAUGAGCUAUCUAGCAUUUCACACAGACCUACACUUACAGGACUGGCUCAAGCCAGCAUAACUCAGGAAACUUCUCUCUAGAAAUGUCUCUGCUGAGGGUAGGAAGAGCUUUUUCAACAGCAGCACAAGCUUAUGACACCUUAACCUGCUGUGGAACUACAACCUGACGCAGGAUGCAGAGGUCUCAAUCUAAAACAAUAUCCCCAAAUUCCAUGACUGACCAAGAUGAUGUCUGGCUCUUUGCAAAUGCAGCAGUGGAUGGUGCUGUGUUAGAAAUGCCAAGGGGCAAUGUUCCCUUUACAAAGGUCUACUAAUGAAAUACUAACUUAGGUAGUGUAAGAGUUGGGAAAGAGUUGGGAAAGAGCUGGAAAGAGCCUCCUUUACUGGGGGUCCAACUUGGUUUAGGGCUCAGUGCUGGGUUCCAGCAAAUGUUUGGGCAAAACUUGGUUAAGGUACAGGGCUCUGUGAGAGCCCCCACGGAAGCUGCAGCAGCAUGGCUUUGGAAAGAGGCACACAAGGGACACAACCAUGCCCGAUUCAAAGUCUGACAAUGCUGGCACUCAUUCAGCAACUUUCUGUAACAUAAAAGCUAUUCCACAGUUUGAUUUUAAUUGCUGAAAAAGAGAUUCUUUCUCUUCAAAAGAGUGUUCUGUACUAUGAACGCGUCAUGAAUAUUCGUGGAUAACCAACCUCCCCCAGGCUGGACACAGCAAAGGCAGCACUGGAGCCAACAGCACAGGGAUGUGGGGCUGGUGACUCAUUUCCCAAGGGGCUGGCUAUCCUGGAUCCCAUACUGAGAAACCCCUUCUCCCUGGGGCUGGUGUCAGCAGGACAGAUUACAGGCUGAAUACCACCAGCCUAACAGCUCUGCAAUCUGGCACCAGGUAACACACCCAGAGUGCUGCCACUUUGGUAUUACACAUGUGCAGAGAUACCCACUGUAUCCAUCCCUCUCACAAAGCUGAAUACACAAUUCUCAUGCCCUCAGAAAGGGAGAAUCACAAUUUCACACUCCCAAUCCCAGUGGAAAGUACACAGAUGAAAACCCACAUGCCUUUGUACUACAAGCAUUACCUGUGUGAACAGCCCUGGUCAAUGAAGUUUUUCAUGGGGAUAGCUGAACUCUCCUGAGAAAACCUGUACUGCUGUGAGGGCUCAGCUUGUUACACUGGGAUCUGCAUUCUCUCUUAAUUGUGUAAUAAGACUUUUUACCAGACUUGUAAUGCAGAAAAAAGACCCCAAACCACCAAAAAUCAACCACAGAACUUGUGUAAUUGACUGCUUAAGACUAGUUUCCUCCUACUGGGAUCCAAUUCUGAGCAAUUUUUUCAGGUCCUGUCUGACUGGCUCAAGCCCCUUUGCCUACUGUCUCUGCAUUUGUACUUUGGCCCUUUGUUACAAGUCUGUCAAACAGGGAAAGAACCAAACAGUCUCUGUUCAACAGACCUGAUUAUUUCUGUCUUUCAGUUAAUUCUGGACUCAAAGCACAAGACAAAAACAGUAAGAGAGAUGGGAAGAUGAUCUGUAUUUCAUUAUUUAUCAGCAAAAAAAUCCCCAAACAGGGGUGAGAUAGCCAGAUACACUGUACAUGGCAGCCUGUUUUCCAUCAACCCUGCAGUGAAGAUGGAGAGAAGAAAUAUAUGAGUGGAGCUUUUAGUUUGAUUGUUCAGAUCUUUCUCAUGACUGAACAAUGAAUGCUCAAUGUAAUCUUUUCCUGUAAUCUUCUGCUUGUAUGAACUCUCUACUUAAGCUGGAGCAGAUCAUGUUGCAUGAUCUCAUUCGGACUGUACAGUAUCAUGAAGAACUCAAUUUUAAAAGUUUUUUUCAAAAUGAUACCAUUCAAGCCAAAUACUGGUAAAUUUAGGAAUGUUUUCACCAUCAGAAUACAAAAACCCCCCAAAACUUUGAGGAAAUACAAGAGACAAAUCAAGGGGAAUUUCAGACUAAACUGUCUCUGUAACCAAGGGAAGUAGAUUUUUUUUCUUUCCAUUAUUCAGAAUUUGUGUGGCUUUGUAAAGGUGUUUUAGUUUACUUUUGUCAUAGAAAAUAACAUACCACUAUGUGAUUUACUAAAUCACUAUGUGAUUUACAAUUUCUCCCUCCUCCUUUUGGUUCUUAGGAAUUCCCAAAUCCUAUACAUUAUAAUGUAUAAUAAGCAGUUAUAAAAUUAUACCAACAUUAUAAUUUCAGAGAGGUAUUAAGAUCCCAGUGCUCUAAAAGUUCAUUUUCAGAGAGUGCAUGCUUGCAGUGAUGCACAAACACACAUCACUUGUUUCCCUAAUUUAGCCCUUUGUAAGUAUUGCACCUGGUUAAUAAAGCUACUGUCUAUUUUCUUCUAACACUAAAAAUUACACAUAGGCAACAUCAUAUGUGGCUUAAAAACAUAGUAUUCCAAAGUUUUUAGGUAAACUCAUUUAUUUCCUCGCAUACUCAGAGCUCCUAUGCCUCCAGUUGCCUGGAGGAGUGUUGAGUGUACAGGAAAUACAGAUGGAACAAGAGAAAUUUAUUUAAUGUGACCUGCUUAACAUGUAUUUUUUUAUUCAGUGAGCUCAAGUAGAUUUCUUUGAGCUUGAUAUCAAAUACACACCUUUUACAAACUUAAACAAUGCUUUCACAUGGUGAAAUGUACAGCUGAACUUGUCUCUUUCUCACCUUCCCUUCUGCAAUGCAAAAAACCAUAAUAAAAAAAUUCCGUAAAUUUGUCUGGUCUUCUAAAUACGAGAUAAAUUGCAUAAAUCCAGGAAAAGGCAGAUUGUCCCACAAAGUGCAUAUUUCACACAAAGCUACAGGAGUAUCUGCUCUGGCCAAGGCCUGAUUUCAGAAGAGCUCAAAAAUGUGUGCCAAACUUUGGGAGCACGAGGAGUCUCCUCAGCAAACUCCCCAGGUGGAGGCAAACACAUCUCGAGUGCUCUGGUGAACCUGAGCCCACAUUUUGUCCUGUAAUACCAGCAGUUCUGUGUCUGUGCAAUUGUACUUUGUAAUUCACACACUAUGUGCUCCCCUUCCCUGAAAGAUUUGUUGGCAUCACUUUAAGAAUUAAUUACUACAGUUAAACACUGAUACUGAAAAUUCUGAUACCAUGUAAAUGCUAUUUACAUUUGUACUUCCUAAUACAGAGGAUGCUGAUUUUUGUUCACUUCAUUAUACACAUUUGGGCAGUUGAAAAACAGAGUGCCUGGACACAGAAAAAAGAAUCUAUAGGAAAAGAUUAUUACAGAUCAUAUAGGAUUUUUCUGUGUAAAAA